rnacentral:rRNA from 1 species
CUCAGUAACACGUGGAUAAUCUGCCCUUAGGUGGAGGAUAAUCUCGGGAAACUGAGGAUAAUACUCCAUAGAUCUAGAAUGCUGGAAUGCAUCUAGAUUGAAAGCUCCGGCGCCUAAGGAUGAGUCUGCGGACUAUCAGGUUGUAGUCAGGGUAAAGACCUGACUAGCCUACGACGGAUACGGGUUGUGAGAGCAAUAACCCGGAGACGAUAUUUGAGACACGAUAUCGGGCCCUACGGGGCGCAGCAGGCGCGAAAACUUCACACUGUGCGAAAGCGCGAUGAGGGAAUCCCAAGUGUUUGCUCGUAAGAGUAAACUGUUUCUUUGUUUAAAACGCAGAGAGAGUAAGGGCUGGGUAAGACGGGUGCCAGCCGCCGCGGUAAUACCUGCAGCUCAAGUGGUGAUCAUUAUUAUUGGGCCUAAAACGUCCGUAGCCGGUUUAGUAAAUGCCUGGGUAAAUCGUGUAGCUUAACUAUACGACUUCCGGGUAGACUGCUAAACUUGAGACCGGGAGAGGCUAGAGGUACUCCUGGGGUAGAGGUGAAAUUCUGUAAUCCUAGGGGGACCACCAGUGGCGAAGGCGUCUAGCUAGAACGGGUCUGACGGUGAGGGACGAAGCCCUGGGGCACAAACCGGAUUAGAUACCCGGGUAGUCCAGGGUGUAAACGCUGCUUGCUUGAUGUUAGUUGGGCUCCGAGCCCAACUAGUGUCGGAGAGAAGUUGUUAAGCAAGCUGCCUGGGAAGUACGGUCGCAAGGCUGAAACUAAAG